rnacentral:lncRNA from 1 species
AAGAAUGAAAAAAUUGCAUUGACCGCAACUAUCGGCACCGAAUAUUUACCGGAAUAGUGUGAUUUUUCAACCGUGGAUGUAUUUCAACAUUCUCGUCAUAUCUUAUUUCAUGACUUUUUGGCGUUUGAAGGUUUUACGUAUAGUUUGUUUUUGAAACGGAACAUUUACAUAACACUUGGUAAACAAGUUAUACAACAUUAGUAUGCAUGUUGUGAUUGUGAUGAUCAAACUUGAGAAAAAUAAAUCCGACCGUCAGAUCUGACCAUUAUGAUAAAAUACAUGUAUGGGAAAAAAUUCAACUUGAUCCGACAAGAAUAGGGGCUCGAUCCGGACGGUCAAUCUCGUAAGUUAAACCCCUAAACGCAUGGAAAAGGUCGUUCGACCGUCUAAAUUACGUAUUUUGGCCGGACCUCCAACUGAAAAUAGUUUCAAACCGAUGAGACGCAAGAAGUCGUCUAAAAAUUUUACGGAAAAUAACAACCGAAGAUAGGGCUAUAGUAGGUAAUAGAAAAAUUUUAGAGUUUAGCCGACGAAUACCCUAACGUAUUCGUCGGCUAUAGUAUGUAAAUUAAAAAAAUUAAAAAAUAACUAAAGCCGACGAGAUAUUAGGUUAUUCGUCGGCUAAAACUUUAUUAGCCGACGAAAUACACUAUAAUUCGUCGGCUAAAGAUGGUUUUAAGCCGACGAAAUAUACUAUAUUUCGUCGGCUAAGAUGGCUUUAGCCGACGAAAUACACUAUAAUUCGUCGGCUAAGAUGGCUUUAGCUAGCUAAAAAUAGUAUAUUUCGUCGGCUAAGAUGGGUUUAGCCCGAGCCUCACAUUCCGGACCUCUGACGCAAAAUGAGGAAACUCCCUGUCUAUAUGCUUCUAAGCCUCCCCGUCAGCAGGGUGUAUAAGGGUAUCUUCGUCAUGCAAUUCCCUAUCAGCGUGUCAUCUCAUAGCUUCGGCCGUGUGUGAAGACAUGUACAACCGCUCCAACCUAUCCCUCAAAGGGAAAUACCGAAGUAUCUUUACAGGUUUCCUGUUGCCUGCAGGAGUCAGCUUAUAUCUGUCAGUGUGACAUACCGGACAUGCGUCAAGGCCACCAAGGUC